rnacentral:rRNA from 1 species
UACGGAGGAUGCGAGCGUUAUCCGGAUUUAUUGGGUUUAAAGGGUGCGUAGGCGGAACAAUAAGUCAGUGGUGAAAUUCUGCAGCUUAACUGUAGACUUGCCGUUGAUACUGUUGAUCUUGAGUAUGGUCAAGGCAGGCGGAAUGUGUAAUGUAGCGGUGAAAUGCUUAGAUAUUACACAGAACACCGAUUGCGAAGGCAGCUUGCUGGGCCAUUACUGACGCUGAUGCACGAAAGCGUGGGGAU